GAACCUGCGCGGGGAGACCCCAAUGGAUUUCUAGUCCAUCGCCUUAACCACUCGGCCACGACUACGCAUGCCGCAAUGGUGUUUCCUGCCUUCCUGUGACUGCUUGCCCGAGAAGUAGCGCGGUUUGGAUUAGGAACAGUUGUGGAGCGAGCGGCCUCAGCCCCCUGAAAACCAGGAUCAUUCCCAGCUGGCAUCCCCAAUAGCGCCCGGGAAGUCGGGGCAGGCAUUUUUGAGGAAAGCCCCAUAAAGAAUUAAUGGAUAGGAAAACAUCUUCAUUUGCCUUAGAGCAGAGACUGGAACAUGAGUCCCAGUUUUUCCAGGUCAUGGAUUUUCCAUUAUUUAUGGCAAUUCCUUAAGGACAGCACUGCAGUCUUGAGUGUUAAAUGUGUUCAUAUGCUCUGGGGUACCUGUAUGCAAUUUAAAUGGAAAAGAAGAUAAGUGUUUGAGAAGAUUGAGCUCUACAGCCACUGGAAAUUGGAAGGAGAGAAAUUUUUACAGCUAGAUGUCACAGUUAAAUCUUAAUUACAAUCAUACUGGUAUAAAUCCCAUGUAACUCCACGGGGAGCUUAGCAAGGUCCUGACCACACUGCUGCUGAAUUAAACACAGCUUGUGCCUAGCAUGUUGCAAGCCACCCUUUGGUGGAAAUAGCCUUGGUGGAUGUAGGCAGGUCCAGGCAAGUUCACAAGCAGUAUCCCAAUUGUCUUUUAUAGCACUAUUUUCUGGUGCCCUGCUGGAGUUCCUGGUAACCAGAAAGCUUAAUAAAAAGCUGUGGUACAUCUCUAGAAAAUGAAGAUCUAAGAGAAAAAUGUCACUAAUGAAAAUGCUGAAGAAACAUGAUACUAAGAUUAAAAAAUGCCAUUAGUCAGGUUGCCACUGUCUAAGUAGUGCUGUAAUGACCCUUGGAAAAAAAUUAAUAGAGAUUUCUGAAGACAUUGCAGGAAUUAGUAAAUAGAACAUUUCAUGGGUUAUGUUUUCUCCUUUGUGUGCAUAUAGUCAGGGAAGAAUAUACCACAUAGGAAAAUUAGUGUGCCUAACAUACUUCACAUCAUGGCUAUCCCUGCCGUGCUUUCCAUAGUUUAAAAUUGUGUUCCAUGGACUUACAGUAUUUUCUUUGAUUUGCUGCCAAUAUUUGCUUAAGCAAAUUGAAGAGCUCGUACUAUACUAGGGUAGAAAGAGUGAUAAAUUGCCAAAAUGCAGUAAAUGUUAAAGCCACAAUUUUAAGCAGAAAUCUGAAGAAAUUGCUCUUAUGACUUAUAACAUUAACAGAUUGAAAGGAAAACACAUGAUCACAUAAUACAGUAAGUGAAAGCUUAUGAUGGAGGAUACAGGUUAAAAUUUUUUUGCUACAUUUAAAGAGAGUUUGAAGUACUUUUUACCUGGUUCCCUGAAUCACAGUUCAUUACUGUUCAAAACAAAGGCUUUGAUUCCCAGAUAUUGUGUUCAAAUGUGAGAACUCACAUGCUAAAAUCUCCCUUUAAAAAAGUGCUUGCAGCUCCACUGUUGACUUCAGGAUAGAAUUUGGUCCAUUGUAGUUCUUUUAGUCUAUUUUCUUUUUAACAAAUUUGUGCUGCUUUUGCUUAUUUCUGCAUGUGUGGAGAAAACCAUUGCAGGAACUCUGUUUUCAGAGCCAUGAGGCACACAAUAUGGAGCAGAACUAAAUAGUGCACUUGGUGCACUCCAGUUUUGCUGCACUGCAAAUAGAGGUUUAGGUACUAGUUUUACAGUUUCUGGUAAUCUCUUGAAAUUCAAAAAAGGAGAUGCAUGAUCAAUUAUUAUGGACAGGAUGUACUGUUUUAUGAAGUAUAACAAUCAAAAAAUAGAAAAGUGGCAUGUAUUCUGUCUCUGAUCUAUACUUGAUUUAUACUUGUCUCUGAUUUAUGUUUCUACAUACCAUGUAUUUAUACUAGUUAAUCUGAAGAUAUGUGUGCUACUUAGAUCACUUUAAAGUCACGUGAAUGCUGUACAAAAAUAUUUAGAAAUUUUAGAAAUUCUAAUUUCAACAAAAAGAAGGAGCUCAGUGAGGUACAGAACUAAUGAAGUCUCAUAUUCCAUUGCCUUGUUACUUUUAGGAACCUUGGAUAUUUGACUGAAGCUGUCAUUUCAAUUAGAUGAAGUUCUCAGAUCUUUUAAUGAUUUCCCUUAAGAUGGGGAUACCUAAUUACUUUUAUUGAAAGGCUGUUAAUGGAAAGUAGGCCUCAUCACAGAUACUUAUUAUAUAUUUGUACAAAUUUUUGUAUGAAGUAUGAAGUACGUGUUGGGAACAGACAACAGUAGAAAAGAGGGAAGAAUGAAAUCUCUUUGAUCAUUUCCAGUGAUGUGAGAAUUAGGGAAUAUUGUCCCCAGGUGGGGUAAAACCAAAUACAGCCCUGGAAGAGUAAAUAGCAUGUAACACAUAGUGAAAGAAAGAACUGAAGUGAAUCAUUUAAGAACAUCUAAACAGCUGAAAUAUGUUCACUGACACUGUUAUUUGAACAGUUGUGAAUAACAACCAGAUUAAUUGAAGUCAAAGUUUCUCCAUAAUAAUUCAGAAAGAGAACAAAAGGCUUAGUCUACUAAAUAAAACAUUUGCUAUGCAAAGCUUGCCCAGUUCUAGUUCAUAUAUUGUAAAAGGAUGUUGGCUUAAGAUAUGCUUUAUUACCAAACUCAGAUAAGGAUACAGGGAAAUGCUGCCUGAGGACUUCAUUAAAGGAGCUAUGGACUAGGAGAUCUAAGAGUGGUCAAUAGUUGAAAUGAAGGUAUUUUUACAACUUUAUGACUGUAGAGUAAUAAGCAAGGAUGUAACCAGUGGAACCUGGGGGAGGAGGCAGACAGAGGAAAAUAAAUGUAAGACAGAGUGCCAAAAGAUAAAACAUCUUGUGGCAAGCUUAUUUUGACUUUUUAAAUUGGAGCAAUGAACUACUAUGGACAGUCCCUCCUUUCCACCAUUAUGCAUUGACUUCCACCCCAUUUUCCAUUGGUAGCCCUCUGUGUCAGUAGACACAGAUCAGCUCUGGGUUUUAAAUGGCCCUGGCACAUUAUGAGAUCUCACCUGAUUCAGGUCUGUGAGUUUCCUCAAAGCAAACCCCUGCUGUUCCUCCUGCAGCAGACAAGUUAUCCCUGUGAUAACUUCCUCAAGGUUAUGUUGACCUUAACUAGUGAGUCAAGUGGAUAAUAUCCUUGUGGGAAGGGAGGACUAAGUGAGACUUUCCACUUCUUUCACAUGCAGCAAUUUUAAGAAUUACAGGGUGUAACUGGAAAGGGAUUGUAGGAUUGUCCUGAAAAUUGAAGUCCUUUGAAAAGGAAGCUUUAUUAAUUUUAAGUCAUAUAAAUGCCAUUCACCUUUGCAAAUUUUAGGCAUCUUCUUGGACAUUGCUAGGAGUCCUAUAUGCUUAGGCAGGUUGCUAAUUUUACCUAAGGGAAGGCAGUUUCUGACAUGGAACAGCUGGCAGAAAUCACAAUCAGCAAUGAGAUAGGUACAUCUUUAUUGAUGGGAACUGUCAGAAGAAGAAGAAGGAGAAGGGUUUCCACUAAACAAGAAUCUUUAAAGAUUUAUUUUAUAAAUUUCUCCUUAGUUCUCUUCUACUUUUUUCUUUAAUUCAGGGGUUCCUGAAUUCCCUUUAAUGCUGGAUGGUGAAUUCAACACACAGGGUUUCAUGCUAACCAGGAUACCUGAAGGACUGUAAUAAGUGGAGAAGUUUUUUGCUCAAAGAUAGAUUUGUAUCUUUAUUUGCACUUUAUUUUUGUGGCUAACUUGAACAUUAGCUUCUCCAGUUCCUCUUCAUACUGUCCAAAUUAUCCAUGCUUACUUAUUGUACUUUUGUAGUUACUGGUCUGCUUUCAGCCAUUAAAGGCUGAAAAGGACCAAGGUGAAGAUUCCUGGAAUGAAAUAUUCUGUUUAGUUUCAGAUUCCAGAUUACAUCUUCUCCCUGGCCCUGCAUCCAAGACUUUCAUAAAAAGUGAUUUCAUGGUACUGAGGACCAGGCAAAUUUGAGGAGAAAACAAGUUGGGCAAAUGAAAGAAGAAAAAGACCCCAAACAUGCUAAAUCCUAAAACAGUCCUGCCAAAAAUCCAAAGCAAAGCACAAACUGAGUAACACUGGAACUGCUCUGUGACCUUUCACAGGUGGGAGUUGAGGAAUUAAGGAAACCUUAGAAAACUGAGGUCAUGUCUGCUCAGCCUAGACAUUAAAGAUCCCGUGGUGCUUUACAUACUAGGAGAGGAUUUACCCUCAUGUUCUGACCAAAAUAUAACCUUUUUCCCAGAACAAAGGAGCAUCCAUACUCUGAUUAGAGUCUCUUCUCCAUCCUGGAAGUGUCUGCAUUUUGAUGUAAACACACAAACAGCUUGUGCCUUUGUGUAAACACACAAAUAGGUGUACACAGCAAGACUUGAGUAUUGAAGGGGGCUUUGCACACAAAAGCAAAUUUCCCAUGUUUGUACAGAGUGUGAAAGGCUUAUGGUUAUGACUUGGGGAGGUAUGUUCCCUUGGAAAGGGAAGAAUUUGGGGAUGGUUUUUUAGAUAAUUUUCAUUAUUUAUUAUUAGUGUAGAGGGAUGGCCAGCAGUGCAAGCAACAACAUGGGACAGCUGUUGGGCUUGAUUGGGCAAACAUUCUCCUUUUACACAUUAGGGCAGUCCUUUUGACUUCAUCAGAACUGUUAGGAGUAUUGGUGAUAUUUACCAAUAUUAAAUUUAAUUUGGGAAAAUCAUUUAGGUGAGAAAAAUAAAUUGUAAAUAUACAGGUAAACUUGCAAGAAUAUUUGCAGACCAUAGAUUUGAUUUAUAAUUAGUGUUUGCCAAGUUCUGUGCUAAUGGGUCAGAAUUUGUCCCUCCUAUUUCCUAAUUAAAAAAAAAAAAUCCCAAUGCAAUUUCUGUCAUCUUUUAAAGCACUUUGACUCUAGGGAUCAGAAUAACUCUGACUUCUGCACUAAGUUAUACCAGAGAAUAAUUUUUGUUGUACUGUAGCACAGACUUUGAAUAGUUGCUGUUUCAAUACAAAAAUAAAAACCAUUCGCUUAAUGUGUAAUUAAUAGUUUGGCAUUUCCCUAAGGCUUUACCCAGGACCCCUUCUGUUUCUGUUUUG